CGGUUGAUCCUGCCGGAGAUCACCGCUAUCGGGGUUCGACUAANCCAUGCGAGUCUUUGGUAGCAAUACCAAGGCAAACUGCUGAGUAACACGUAGCUAACCUGCCCUUGAGUUCGGGAUAAUCUCGGGAAACUGAGCAUAAUACCGAAUAUGUGACAAUGCCUGGAAGGGUUUGUCACUCAAAACUUCGGUGCUCAAGGAUGGGGCUGCGGUGGAUUAGGUUGAUGUUAGGGUAACUGCCUAACAUGCCUAUAAUCCAUAGGGGCUGUGAGAGCAGUAGCCCCCAGAUGGGUUCUGAGACACGAACCCAGGUCCUAAGGGACGCAGCAGGCGCGAAACCUCCGCAAUGCACGCAAGUGUGACGGGGGAACCUCGGGUGCUAGCGUUACAAGCGUUAGCUUUUUGUGAGUUUAAAUUGCUCGCAGAAUAAGUAGUGGGUAAGACCGUUGCCAGCCGCCGCGGUAAUAACGGCACUACAAGUGGUGAUCACGCGUAUUGGGUCUAAAGCAUCCGUAGCCGGAUGAUUAAGUCUUUCGUGAAACUUCAUAGAAAACUAUGAAAAGUGCGAGGGAAACUGGUUAUCUUGGAACCGGGAAGGGUCAGAGGUACUUCUGGGGUAGAGGUGGAAUUCUGUAAUCCCAGAGGGACCACCUGUGGCGAAGGCGUCUGACUGGAACGGAUUCGACGGUGAGGGAUGAAAGCUAGGGGAGCAAAGGGGAUUAGAUACCCCCGUAGUCCUAGCUGUAAACGAUGCCCGCUAGGUAUUGCGUGUUUUUCGUGAACAUGCAGUGCCGUAGGGAAGCCAUUAAGCGGGCCACCUGGGGAGUACGGUCGCAAGGCUGAAACUUAAAGGAAUUGGCGGGGGAGCAC
rnacentral:rRNA from 1 species